GGCCAGAUAGCUCAGUUGGUAGAGCAGGGGACUGAAAAUCCCCGUGUCGGGGGUUCGAUUCCCUCUCUGGCCACCA
rnacentral:tRNA from 1 species